rnacentral:rRNA from 1 species
AUUGAACGCUGGCGGCAGGCCUAACACAUGCAAGUCGAACGGUAACAGGAAGAGGCUUGCUUCUUUGCUGACGAGUGGCGGACGGGUGAGUAAUGUCUGGGAAACUGCCUGAUGGAGGGGGAGAACUACUGGAAACGGUAGCUAAUACCGCAUAACGUAGCAAGACCAAAGAGGGGGACCUUCGGGCCUCUUGCCAUCGGAUGUGCCCAGAUGGGAUUAGCUAGUAGGUGGGGUAACGGCUCACCUAGGCGACGAUCCCUAGCUGGUCUGAGAGGAUGACCAGCCACACUGGAACUGAGACACGGUCCAGACUCCUACGGGAGGCAGCAGUGGGGAAUAUUGGACAAUGGGCGCAAGCCUGAUGCAGCCAUGCCGCGUGGAUGAAGAAGGCCUUCGGGUUGUAAAGUACUUUUAGCGGGGAGGAAGGGAGUCAAGUUAAUACCUUUGUUCAUUGACGUUACCCGCAGAAGAAGCACCGGCUAACUUCGUG